UACGUAGGUGACCAGCGUUGUCCGGAUUUACUGGGCGUAAAGAGCGCGCAGGCGGUCGUUCAAGUCGAGUGUGAAAGCCCCCGGCUCAACUGGGGAGGGUCAUUCGAUACUGAUCGACUGGAAGGCAGGAGAGGGAAGCGGAAUUCCCGGUGUAGUGGUGAAAUGCGUAGAUAUCGGGAGGAACACCAGUGGCGAAGGGACGCCUU
rnacentral:rRNA from 1 species